CCUACGGGUGGCAGCAGUGAGGAAUAUUGGUCAAUGGACGCAAGUCUGAACCAGCCAUGCCGCGUGCAGGAAGACGGCCCUAUGAGUUGUAAACUGCUUUUGUACGAGGGUAAACGCAGAUACGCGUACCUGUCUGUAUGUACCGUACGAAUAAGGAUCGGCUAACUCCGUGCCAGCAGCCGCGGUAAUACGGAGGAUUCAAGCGUUAUCCGGAUUUAUUGGGUUUAAAGGGUGCGUAGGCGGUCGGAUAAGUUAGUGGUGAAAGCCCGAGGCUCAACUGCGGAAUUGCAUCUGAUACGGGUCGGCUAGAGAGUAGUAGAGGUAGGCGGAAUGUGUGGUGUAGCGGUGAAAUGCUUAGAGAUCAUGCAGAACACCGAUUGCGAAGGCAGCUUAC
rnacentral:rRNA from 1 species